AUUGAACGCUGGCGGUAGGCCUAACACAUGCAAGUCGAACGCGAAAGUCCUUCGGGAUGAGUAGAGUGGCGGACGGGUGAGUAACGCGUAGGAAUCUAUCCUGUAGUGGGGGAUAACGUUUCGAAAGGAACGCUAAUACCGCAUACGCCCCAAGGGGGAAAGCGGGGGAUCUUCGGACCUCGUGCUAUAGGAGGAGCCUGCGUCGGAUUAGCUAGUUGGUGAGGUAAAGGCUCACCAAGGCGACGAUCCGUAGCUGGUCUGAGAGGAUGAUCAGCCACACCGGAACUGAGACACGGUCCGGACUCCUAUGGGAGGCAGCAGUGGGGAAUAUUGCGCAAUGGGCGAAAGCCUGACGCAGCCAUACCGCGUGUGUGAAGAAGGCCUUCGGGUUGUAAAGCACUUUCAGUGGGGAGGAAAAGCUGGUGGCUAAUAUCCAUCGGCCGUGACGCUACCCACAGAAGAAGCACCGGCUAAUUCCGUGCCAGCAGCCGCCGUAAGAC
rnacentral:rRNA from 1 species